rnacentral:lncRNA from 1 species
CUUGUAUCAUUAGAUCUGUAAGGUCUGGACAUGCUAAGAUGAUUGUGAUUAUAGUCAAUUUAAGACUUUUGAAAGAUCUUUGUUAAGGCCAAAUAAAGACAAUUUUCCAACAGAUUUCCAUAAGACUACUUUUGAUAUAAAAAAAAAAAAAAAAAAAAAAAAACCUUAACUAACACUGAAUUUGGAGAAAUUAUGCAUGACGUAUCAUUUCCCACGAACUAAACUUUCUCAGUCACGGACCGAGCAGGCUAACGGUAUGAAUGAUUGUUGUAUUAAAUGCUAUUCUUUCUACGCCACUGGAAUUUGAUAAGUGCGCGUGCCCACCUGCCGAUGCCUCACGCGCUAGUCUUUAUUCCCACUGCCGCUGUACAAACAACGCGGAGCAUCCACACGGACGACCACAAUGCAGUUCAGUAGUCCUGCAUCGCUUACUAUGUAGCUUUCGCGCUCAUCGCUUUAAUGUUGUGUUUAAAUAACUUUUCAUGAAUGAGUCAAAUUAAACAUGGCCGAUUGGGAGAAGGGGAGGAAGUGGUUUCAAAGAGAAGAGGUCAGUUCAGGAGAGCCGGAGGAAGAAUCCUUAAAGGCGCAUCCCGAGAGCAAGACACGGCUGAAUUUCCCUGCGCACACAGACGUUUUUAGCGCAGAACGCGUUCGGGGUAGAAAUGUGUCCAGAUGGAGGGACCCCACUGUGCAGGCCCGGCCAGCACUCGAGGGGUGAGGAGAGCUGAUGUAUGGGGUGUGGAUCCGGUCUAACUGGACUCUUUCUCAGCAUGAGUUCUGGCACACCACCAUCCCUCAGCUCAGGUUACAGAGGGACACGGGAGAUUGUUCAGAGAACAUGACACGACAUACUGGGCGGCAAUAUGGCGGAUGGCUGGGCCCCCUCAUCAGCCGGCUCUCAGCACCUCCAUCAAGACUCAAAACCCACCAGAGUAUCAGGUUCACAGACCCAUAUUUAAGUAAUCUGAGGUUCACAUGAUGAUUUGGGUAAGAGACUGGGAAAUUGAAACGGACAUUUUGCUGGGGGAGAGACGGAGGAGUUGAGGAAAGACCACCUGGGUAACCUUUCAUAGAGCUGUCCUCUGGUGCCAAAACACCCUGGAAUAAUAUUCUCCUCUUGCUCCAUUUCACAGUCUUGUACUAGUGCUAAACAGUGACUAAAACGCAUGU